rnacentral:rRNA from 1 species
UACGUAGGGUGCGAGCGUUGUCCGGAUUACUGGGCGUAAAGAGCGCGCAGGCGGUCGGAUCAGUCGAAUGUGAAAGCCCCCGGCUCAACUGGGGAGGGUCAUUCGAUACUGUCCGACUCGAAGGCAGGAGAGGGAAGCGGAAUUCCCGGUGUAGUGGUGAAAUGCGUAGAUAUCGGGAGGAACACCAGUGGCGAAGGCGGCUUUCUGGCCUGUUCUUGACGCUGAGGCGCGAAAGCUAGGGGAGCGAACGGGG